rnacentral:rRNA from 1 species
CCGCUACCACGCGAGUGGAUGCCAAUCCCUAAAACCCCUCUCAGUUCGGACUGGAGUCUGCAACCCGACUCCACGAAGCUGGAUUCGCUAGUAAUCGCGCAUCAGCCACGGCGCGGUGAAUACGUUCCCGGGCCUUGUACACACCGCCCGUCAAGCCAUGGGAGCCGGGGGUACCUGAAAUGCGUAACCGCGAGGAUCGCCCCAGGGUAAAACUGGUGACUGGGGCUAAGUCGUAACAAGGUAAC